GUGACAUCCCAGUCACAUGGACAGAGUCAGUCUUUGUGAUUUUGCAAUGUUUCAUUGUUGCUUUGCCCUGUAGACGAGCUACUGUGCAGAGCUGACGGGGCAGCUGUUCAGGAAGGGGUGUUUUUUUUAUUAGCUUGUAAGUCACUGAUGGACCAAAAUUUGUACUUCAUUUGUAAAUUAGGAAAGUGGAAUGAGUCUUUGAGCUCCCUGCAUUUGAAAAUCUUCCCUACCAUUCCAAUCAUUUAUGCAAUGUAGUAUCUGUAAUUUCAGUUGGUAGUUCGGGGGAACUGGAGUUAUUUGUUGGGUUUUCCUCCAUGUUUGGAUCCACAUAGGUGUGAGUGGAUAAGGGCUAAGGCCAAGGUUUGUCUUUCAAGACACUUUAGGAGCUUUCUGGGAGUUUCUAGAGAACAGCCACAUGUGAAUGUUCAUUUAUGUCUUUCCUCUUCCUCUGUUUAAAAGCAAAUGUUCUCCUGGGAGUUGAAGUGGUCAAGCUAUUGCCAGCCUUUGUCCUCAUCCUCCUGUCUGAAACAAGGGCGGCCCUCCAGCCAGCCAUUGUCUAAAGAGCUUCAUGUAAAGGCACUUUCACUUACUCACCAACUCCUUUGGCUCAACCUCUGGAGAUUACAAAACCAAAUGGUGUCCUAGGGCCUGACAAGUGUGAGGAAAAGAACUCCACAUACUCUCAUGAUGCAAAUUUUUAUAUUGCACACCUGUGGCCAGAUGAAUCUUUACCAAACUCCACCUUCAUCACAGCAUUCCCUUUCCAAAGACUUCCAAGGAAGUGCUAACUCCUCAGCUUCUCAGACCUCCCCGGCGCCCAGCGGGUUCUUCUUCUUCUAAACUGGCACUGAUUGCAGAUGCUGAUCAUUGGGCAAUAAAUCCAUUCUGCCUUGUGGUGUUGCUU
rnacentral:lncRNA from 1 species